AUUGAACGCUGGCGGAAUGCUUUACACAUGCAAGUCGAACGGCAGCACGGGGGCAACCCUGGUGGCGAGUGGCGAACGGGUGAGUAAUAUAUCGGAACGUGCCCGGUCGUGGGGGAUAACGUAGUGAAAGUUACGCUAAUACCGCAUACGAUCUGAGGAUGAAAGCGGGGGACCUUCGGGCCUCGCGCGAUCGGAGCGACCGAUGUCAGACUAGGUAGUUGGUGGGGUAAAGGCCUACCAAGCCGACGAUCUGUAGCUGGUCUGAGAGGACGACCAGCCACACUGGGACUGAGACACGGCCCAGACUCCUACGGGAGGCAGCAGUGGGGAAUGUUGGACAAUGGGCGCAAGCCUGAUCCAGCCAUUCCGCGUGCAGGACGAAGGCCUUCGGGUUGUAAACUGCUUUUGUAUGGAACGAAAAGGCUCUGGCUAAUACCUGGGGCUCAUGACGGUACCGUAAGAAUAAGCACCGGCUAACUACGUG
rnacentral:rRNA from 1 species